rnacentral:rRNA from 1 species
UACAGAGGUCUCAACCGUUGUUCGGAUUCAUUGGGCGUAAAGGGUGCGUAGGCGGUCGUGCAAGUCGGAUGUGAAAUCUCAGGGCUCAACCCUGAAACUGCAUUCGAUACUGCGUGGCUAGAGUGCUGGAGAGGAGACUGGAAUUUACGGUGUAGCAGUGAAGUGCGUAGAUAUCGUAAGGAAGACCAGUGGCGAAGGCGAGUCUCUGGACAGCAACUGACGCUGAGGCACGAAGGCCAGGGGAGCAAACGGG